rnacentral:rRNA from 1 species
UACGUAGGGGGCAAGCGUUGUCCGGAUUUACUGGGCGUAAAGGGCGCGUAGGCGGUCAGCACAAGUCAGUUGUGAAAUCUCCGAGCUUAACUCGGAAAGGUCAACUGAUACUGUGCGGCUAGAGUGCGGAAGGGGCAACUGGAAUUCUUGGUGUAGCGGUGAAAUGCGUAGAUAUCAAGAGGAACACCUGCGGCGAAGGCGGGUUGCUGGGCCGACACUGACGCUGAGGCGCGAAAGCUAGGGGAGCGAACGGG